rnacentral:rRNA from 1 species
UUGACCUCAAAUCAGGUAGGACUACCCGCUGAACUUAAGCAUAUCAAUAAGCGGAGGAAAAGAAACUAACAAGGAUUCCCCUAGUAACUGCGAGUGAAGCGGGAAAAGCUCAAAUUUAAAAUCUGGCGGUCUUGCGGCCGUCCGAGUGUAAUCUGUAAAGCGUUUAUCCGCGUCGGACCGUGUACAAGUCUUCUGAAGGAGCGUCGUAGAGGUGAGAUCCCGUCUUUGACACGACACCGUGCUUUGUGAUGCGCUCUCGAGAGUCUAGUAGUUGCGAUGCAGCUCAAAUGGGCGGUAAAUCCAUCUAAAGCUAAAUAAUGCGAAAGGCUGAGCG